GAUGAACGCUAGCGGCAGGCUUAACGCAUGCAAGUCGAGGGGUAGAGUUAGCUUGCUAACUUGAGACCGGCGCACGGGUGCGUAACGCGUAUGCAAUCUACCUUUUACAGAGGGAUAGCCCAGAGAAAUUUGGAUUAAUACCUCAUAGUAUCUUUGCCUGGCAUCAGGUGAUUAUUAAAGUUCCAACGGUAAAAGAUGAGCAUGCGUCCUAUUAGCUAGAUGGUAAGGUAACGGCUUACCAUGGCAACGAUAGGUAGGGGUCCUGAGAGGGCGAGCCCCCCCACUGGUACUAGGACACGGACCAGACUCCUACGGGAGGCAGCAGUGGGGAAUAUUGGACAAUGGGCGCAAGCCUGAUCCAGCCAUGCCGCGUGCAGGAAGAAGCAUCUAUGGUGUGUAAACUGCUUUUGUACGGGAAGAAACACUCCCUCGUGAGGGAGCUUGACGGUACCGUAAGAAUAAGGAUCGGCUAACUCCGUGCCAGCCGCCGCCGUAAUAC
rnacentral:rRNA from 1 species